rnacentral:rRNA from 1 species
AGAGUUUGAUCCUGGCUCAGAUUGAACGCUGGCGGCAUGCUUUACACAUGCAAGUCGGACGGCAGCACAGAGAAGCUUGCUUCUUGGGUGGCGAGUGGCGAACGGGUGAGUAAUAUAUCGGAACGUACCGAGUAAUGGGGGAUAACUAAUCGAAAAGAUUAGCUAAUACCGCAUAUUCUCUGAGGAGGAAAGCAGGGGACCUUCGGGCCUUGCGUUAUUCGAGCGGCCGAUAUCUGAUUAGCUAGUUGGUGGGGUAAAGGCCUACCAAGGCGACGAUCAGUAGCGGGUCUGAGAGGAUGAUCCGCCACACUGGGACUGAGACACGGCCCAGACUCCUACGGGAGGCAGCAGUGGGGAAUUUUGGACAAUGGGCGCAAGCCUGAUCCAGCCAUGCCGCGUGUCUGAAGAAGGCCUUCGGGUUGUAAAGGACUUUUGUCAGGGAAGAAAAGGCUGUUGCUAAUAUCGACAGCUGAUGACGGUACCUGAAGAAUAAGCACCGGCUAACUACGUGCCAGCAGCCGCGGUAAUACGUAGGGUGCGAGCGUUAAUCGGAAUUACUGGGCGUAAAGCGAGCGCAGACGGUUACUUAAGCAGGAUGUGAAAUCCCCGGGCUCAACCUGGGAACUGCGUUCUGAACUGGGUGACUAGAGUGUGUCAGAGGGAGGUAGAAUUCCACGUGUAGCAGUGAAAUGCGUAGAGAUGUGGAGGAAUACCGAUGGCGAAGGCAGCCUCCUGGGAUAACACUGACGUUCAUGCUCGAAAGCGUGGGUAGCAAACAGGAUUAGAUACCCUGGUAGUCCACGCCCUAAA